AAAAAAUGGCUCGCUUUCCCUCCAAUGUUAAGCUUCUCGUUGAUGGUCUUUCCCUUUCUAUCUUUCGGUGAGCAUAUAACUGCUCUUUCUCUUUUCUCUUCUGGGUUUUUCAUGUUCUUGAUACAUAUAUCUAGAUUUUGUUUUUCUUUACAGAAAAAUAUGGGAAAAGGAAAGUUCUUGUAAUUUUUUUGUUCUAUUAGCCAUGGGAAGAUGUUGUUUUUGAACUUUUUGCAUGAUUAAGAUUUAAGAAAGAAAAGGAUUUUUGAAUUUGAAUUGAUUGAGCAUAACUAUGCCUAUUUGGCUAUUUUCCAUCACCUUUGCUUCCGUUAAUCAAUUUUGCAGAUUGCAAAAGCAUUUCUUUUUCCCAAUUUGUUAAUAUUAACAGUGGAUUAAUGUGAAUCAGGAGGAGCUAUGCGGCUGCGCCACAAGAGGCAGUGUUUGGUAGGGGAGGGUCAAGGAGUGGUAUGGUGAGGAAAGUGCAAGAAAGGGGUGUGAUUAAAGAAGAUUCAGGGGCCUCAUCUGCAUGGGCUCCAGAUCCCAUCACAGGGUACUACAGGCCAGCUAAUUGUGGUUCUGAGAUCGACCCAGCUGAGCUUCGAGAAAUGCUAUUGAACCACAGGGUUAGGCCAAACUAGAAGUAGAAGAAGGCCACAACCCACAAGGUUUGUGGUUUGUGGUAGUGUUCACUCUAGUCCCUUUUGGGCAGCUUAUAAGAUAGUUUGUUUUGAACUUUUUGCUAUGAUGUGUUCUUCCAUCAAAACUAUAACUAGAAAUAUAUCUCACUUCCUAGUCCUUUGUUAUUGUCUUUCUUCUUUCUUUUGCUAUGAGAUUUUCAACUUUCAAUUUUACUUACAAUAUUAUCUUAUUGAUUUUUAAUGGUAU
rnacentral:misc_RNA from 1 species